rnacentral:siRNA from 1 species
AUACGUAUCAAAGUGGAUAUCCGC